rnacentral:lncRNA from 1 species
CGCGCCCGUGCCGCGAGGAGGACGUCGAGAAGGAGCAGGGGCGGGAAUUAGCGCUGCAGCGCCAGCGGGAGGAGCACAGGAUCCGGCGGCUGCAGGCGCGGGAGCAGCAGGCGCGGGAGCAGCAGGCGCGGGAGGCGGUGCACCCCGGCCCAGAGCCCGAGCCCGAGUCCCUCCGGGAGCAGCAGCAGGGCCUGGAGAAGGCGCGGCAGCAGCUCCUCUGUGCCGCGGGGCUGCUGACCAGCUUCAUCAGCCAGACGGUGGACAGGACCGUCAGCGAUUGGACGUCGUCCAACGAAAAGGCGGUCGCGUCUUUGCUGCACACGCUGGAGACACUCAAGUCCGAACUGGGCUCGUCCGGCUCCUGUCAGAGGAAGACGGCGGCGGAGCUGCAGGUCCAGCUGGUGGACGUCCUGCUGGACGACAACGAGGCCCUGCGCAGAGCGCUCAGCGCGGCGACCCGGGAGAAGGCGGAGCUGUGCAGGGCCCUGUCCCAGCUGGAGAGGAGCCCCCGGGCCUCCAGGACGCCGCAGGAGAGCUGUGCACGCCGGGU